GGUCACGAGAGCCAGCACCAGUGCCCCGGCAUUCUGGCCGGCAACCCUCCCCACCGCGGCGGGGUGCCCCGGGUGACGACCAGGCCGGCCCCAGACCGGGGCCCGGCAAGCGCGGUCG
rnacentral:ncRNA from 2 species